CUUUGGUAAUACAGCUCUAUGA
rnacentral:miRNA from 1 species